rnacentral:rRNA from 1 species
GAUGAACGCUGGCGGCGUGCCUAAUACAUGCAAGUCGAACGAAACUUCUUUAUCACCGAGUGCUUGCACUCACCGAUAAAGAGUUGAGUGGCGAACGGGUGAGUAACACGUGGGCAACCUGCCCAAAAGAGGGGGAUAACACUUGGAAACAGGUGCUAAUACCGCAUAACCAUAGUUACCGCAUGGUAACUAUGUAAAAGGUGGCUAUACUACCGCUUCUGGAUGGGCCCGCGGCGCAUUAGCUAGUUGGUAGGGUAAAGGCUUACCAAGGCAAUGAUGCGUAGCCGAAUUGAGAGGUUGAUCGGCCACAUUGGGACUGAGACACGGCCCAAACUCCUACGGGAGGCAGCAGUAGGGAAUCUUCCACAAUGGGCGAAAGCCUGAUGGAGCAACGCCGCGUGGGUGAAGAAGGUCUUCGGAUCGUAAAACCCUGUUGUUAGAGAAGAAAGUGCGUGAGAGUAACUGUUCACGUUUCGACGGUAUCUAACCAGAAAGCCACGGCUAACUACGU